rnacentral:rRNA from 1 species
AUUGAACGCUGGCGGCAGGCCUAACACAUGCAAGUCGAACGAGUGGCGGACGGGUGAGUAAUGUCUGGGACACUGCCCGAUGGAGGGGGAUAACUACUGGAAACGGUAGCUAAUACCGCAUACUAUCGGAUGUGCCCAGAUGGGCUUAGCUAGGAGGUGGGGUAAUGGCUCACCUAGGCGACGAUCCCUAGCUGGUCUGAGAGGAUGACCAGCCACACUGGAACUGAGACACGGUCCAGACUCCGACGGGAGGCAGCAGUGGGGAAUAUUGCACAAUGGGCGCAAGCCUGAUGCAGCCAUGCCGCGUGUGCGAUGAAGGCCUUCGGGUUGUAAAGCACUUUUGGCAGGAAAGCGUUACUCGCAGAAGAAGCACCGGCUAACUCCGUGCCAGCAGCCGCGGUAAUUC